UGUCCUACGGGACGCAGCAGUGGGGAAUAUUGGGCAAUGGGCGCAAGCCUGACCCAGCAACGCCGCGUGAAGGAAGAAGGCUUUCGGGUUGUAAACUUCUUUUAUGAGGGACGAAACAAAUGACGGUACCUCAUGAAUAAGCCACGGCUAACUACGUGCCAGCAGCCGCGGUAAUACGUAGGUGGCAAGCGUUAUCCGGAUUUACUGGGUGUAAAGGGCGUGUAGGCGGGACUGCAAGUCAGAUGGUAAAAUUAUGGGCUGAAACCAUAACCUGCAUUUGAAACUGCAGUUCUUGAGCUAUGGCG
rnacentral:rRNA from 1 species